CUUGAUCGAGCCCAGCCAGAGCGGGCGGUCCCGGUCCUGGCCGUAGGUGGCGAGGAUGGCCUGGGCCUC
rnacentral:antisense_RNA from 1 species